GAUGAAGAACGUAGCGAAAUGCGAUAAGUAAUGUGAAUUGCAGAAUUCAGUGAAUCAUCGAAUCUUUGAACGCACAUUGCGCCCGCCAGUAUUCUGGCGGGCAUGCAUGUCUGAGCGUCAUUUCAACCCUCAUGCCCCUAGGGCGUGGUGUUGGGGAUCGGCCAAAGCCCGCGAGGGACGGCCGGCCCCUAAAUCUAGUGGCGGACCCGUCGUGGCCUCCUCUGCGAAGUAGUGAUAUUCCGCAUCGGAGAGCGAUGAGCCCCUGCCGUUAAACCCCCAACUUUCCAAGGUUGACCUCAGAUCAGGUAGGAAUACCCGCUGAACUUAAGCAUAUCAAUAAGCGGAGGA
rnacentral:misc_RNA from 1 species